rnacentral:rRNA from 1 species
GACGAAGGUGGCAAGCGUUGUUCGGAAUUACUGGGCAUAAAGCGCGCGUAGGCGGCUGUGUAAGUCAGGUGUGAAAGCCCUCGGCUCAACCGAGGAACUGCGCCUGAUACUGCACGGCUUGAGGUCCGGAGGGGAGAGUGGAAUUCCCGGUGGAGCGGUGAAAUGCGUAGAGAUCAGGAAGAACACCGGUGGCGAAAGCGCUCUGCUAGGCCGCAACUGACACUGAGGGACGAAAGCUAGGGGAGCGAAUGGG